UGUGUUGAUUUUUUGUGCUUUUACAGGUUGCGUUGCUGUUUUCCAAUACUGGUUAGAUAAAAAGGUAUCAAGGAUGGAAAUGGAAGACAAAUACACACAUACAACAGAGCUGUAAUCAUUAUUAUAAAUUAUAAGAAUUGAACUGCAUCAUGUCAUCAUACAUGCUCUAUUAAUGUUUGCAUAAUAAUGAAAACUAGCAUAAACAAGCAAACUUGCAACAAAACGCUUUAGUCACUCGAUCGAUCGGAUUCAUCCUUCUUCGUGGGUUCCUUCACAGGCUUCACAGAACAGCCUAAAUAUCUGAAACAUGGGAGGGGGGACAUGUACACAGCUUAUAAUUAAUAAGAUCGAGCCUGAUGAUUUUGAUAUUUAUGCAUGUAAUCUGAUGAGAACGUACUCUCAUAUAUAUAUAUAUAGCAUCUGUGAUGAAACUUAAUUACCACACCUUAAUAAAAGCUUAAAAUUAAAACAAAGCAUAGAAGAAAACAAAAUCCAGUAGUGAACUAUAUAUACCUCUUCAUUUAUGUUGCUAAUACGGUCUGUCCUGCGGGUUAUUUCUUUUUCUAUUUCAUCCUCCCUCUUCUGGUUUCGCCUAAGAGUUCUCCAUUCUGAAGGUGGUAGCAACACAACCCAACACAGCGAUCGAUCAGCAAAUAUAUAUAUAUAUGAUAUCAAUGUUUUCUUGUAGAGCAAACCAAACCAAACAAAGACGACAGAUUCAGAUAAAUUAAUUACCCAAAAGCAUGUAGCCAAUAAAUCCAACAUAACCUGGAAGGGCAUAUCCUACGUAACCCUGCAAAUAUCUACUUUGCUGCAGUUUUCCAUCCAUGUCAGCCAAUUUUAGAUUAGAUCAUACAGUAACAAAAAUAUAUAUGAUAACUCAAAAAUUGAAUAAUAGUCUCGAUUACUGGGAAAAUCCGAUUCCACAUUUCUUCUCCUCUUUGACUGGAAAAAUUAGGGUUUGCUCUUCUUCUUUUGAGGUUUCUACUACUCCCGCGACGUUAUUGUUUGCCUUCCUCUUUUUAAUCCCCAACCAGGGGGGCCUCAUAUUUUUAACUUGGGCUUCGCUUCGAAUUG
rnacentral:lncRNA from 1 species